GCUGUGUGCAGUGCCCCACGCCAGAAGGUGCCACCCAGGUAUACUGAAAUAUGAUUGGCACCUCUUAGUGUGAUUUAAUGCACAACA
rnacentral:pre_miRNA from 1 species